AGUGAACGCUGGCGGUAGGCCUAACACAUGCAAGUCGAACGGCAGCACAGUAAGAGCUUGCUCUUACGGGUGGCGAGUGGCGGACGGGUGAGGAAUACACCGGAAUCUACUUUUUCGCGGGGGAUAACGUAGGGAAACUUACGCUAAUACCGCAUACGACCUACGGGUGAAAGCAGGGGACCUUCGGACCUUGCGCGAUUGAAUGAGCCGAUGUCGGAUUAGCUAGUUGGCGGGGUAAAGGCCCACCAAGGCGACGAUCCGUAGCUGGUCUGAGAGGAUGAUCAGCCACACUGGAACUGAGACACGGUCCAGACUCCUACGGGAGGCAGCAGUGGGGAAUAUUGGACAAUGGGCGCAAGCCUGAUCCAGCCAUACCGCGUGGGUGAAGAAGGCCUUCGGGUUGUAAAGCCCUUUUGUUGGGAAAGAAAAGCAGCAGGUUAAUACCCCGCUGUUCUGACGGUACCCAAAGAAUAAGCACCGGCUAACUUCGUG
rnacentral:rRNA from 1 species